AACGAACGCUGGCGGCAUGCCUAACACAUGCAAGUCGAACGAGACCUUCGGGUCUAGUGGCGCACGGGUGCGUAACGCGUGGGAACCUGCCCUUAGGUUCGGCAUAACUCCCCGAAAGGGGUGCUAAUACCGGAUAAUGUCUUCGGACCAAAGAUUUAUCGCCUUUGGAUGGGCCCGCGUUGGAUUAGCUAGUUGGUAGGGUAAAAGCCUACCAAGGCGACGAUCCAUAGCUGGUCUGAGAGGAUGAUCAGCGACACUGGGACUGAGACACGGCCCAGACUCCUACGGGAGGCAGCAGUGGGGAAUAUUGGACAAUGGGCGAAAGCCUGAUCCAGCAAUGCCGCGUGAGUGAUGAAGGCCUUAGGGUUGUAAAGCGCUUUUACCCGGGAUGAUAAUGACAGUACCGGGAGAAUAAGCUCCGGCUAACUCCGUG
rnacentral:rRNA from 1 species